CCUACGGGAGGCAGCAGUGGGGAAUUUUGGACAAUGGGCGCAAGCCUGAUCCAGCAAUGCCGCGUGAGUGAAGAAGGCCUUCGGGUUGUAAAGCUCUUUUGUCAGGGAAGAAACGGUCUACUCUAAUACAGUGGGCUAAUGACGGUACCUGAAGAAUAAGCACCGGCUAACUACGUGCCAGCAGCCGCGGUAAUACGUAGGGUGCAAGCGUUAAUCGGAAUUACUGGGCGUAAAGCGUGCGCAGGCGGUUAUAUAAGUCAGAUGUGAAAUCCCCGGGCUCAACCUGGGAACUGCAUUUGAGACUGUAUGGCUAGAGUGUGUCAGAGGGGGGUAGAAUUCCACGUGUAGCAGUGAAAUGCGUAGAUAUGUGGAGGAAUACCGAUGGCGAAGGCAGCCCCCUGGGAUAACACUGACGCUCAUGCACGAAAGCGUGGGGAGCAAACAGGAUUAGAUACCCUGGUAGUCCACGCCCUAAACGAUGUCUACUAGUUGUCGGGACUUAAUUGUCUUGGUAACGCAGCUAACGCGUGAAGUAGACCGCCUGGGGAUACGGUCGCAAGNUUAAAACUCAAAAGUGUAGUGACGUGAGAGAGACGACGACGGACGACGACGGAGGAGGAG
rnacentral:rRNA from 1 species